UCAGAUGGUUGUCGGAUGGUGUAUGAUGGUGUAGGGUGGUUAUACAGGGAAGGGUUGUCAGAUGGUGAAGAUGGUACAGAUGGUGUAUGAUGGUCGAAGUGUGGCAGAUGGUUGUCAGAUGGUGUAUGAUGGUGUAUGAUGGUCGAAGUGUGUCAGAUGGUUGUCGGAUGGUGUAUGAUGGUGUAGGGUGGUUAUACAGGGAAGGGUUGUCAGAUGGUGAAGAUGGUACAGAUGGUGUAUGAUGGUCGAAAUGUGUCAGAUGGUUGUCAGAUGGUGUAUGAUGGUGUAGGGUGGUUAUACAGGGAAACGUUGUCAGAUGGUGAAGAUGGUACAGAUGGUGUAUGAUGGUCGAAAUGUGUCGGAUGGUUGUCAGAUGGUGUAUGAUGGUGUAUGAUGGUCGAAAUGUGUCAGAUGGUUGUCAGAUGGUGUAUGAUGGUGUAUGAUGGUCGAAGUGUGUCAGAUGGUUGUCAGAUGGUGUAUGAUGGUGUAGGGUGGUUAUACAGGGAAGGGUUGUCAGAUGGUGAAGAUGGUACAGAUGGUGUAUGAUGGUCGAAGUAUGUCAGAUGGUUGUCAGAUGGUGUAUGAUGGUGUAUGAUGGUCGAAGUGUGUCAGAUGGUUUUCAGAUGGUGUAUGAUGGUGUAGGGUGGUUAUACAGCGAAGGGUUGUCAGAUGGUGAAGAUGGUACAGAUGGUGUAUGAUGGUCGAAAUGUGUCAGAUGGUUGUCAGAUGGUGUAUGAUGGUGUAUGAUGGUCGAAGUGCGUCAGAUGGUUGUCGGAUGGUGUAUGAUGGUGUAGGGUGGUUAUACAGGGAAGGGUUGUCAGAUGGUGAAGAUGGUACAGAUGGUGUAUGAUGGUCGAAGUGUGUCAGAUGGUUGUCAGAUGGUGUAUGAUGGUGUAUGAUGGUGUAUGAUGGUCGAAGUGUGUCAGAUGGUUGUCAGAUGGUGUAUGAU
rnacentral:lncRNA from 1 species